ACAAUGCCUUCCUCAAAGCAGCAGGCGGCUGGAACCACUUACACAAGUUUAGUCCACUUCACUUUCCUGCUCCUGGUCAAGACAGAACGUCAGGUCUCCAGAGCUGCAACUAAAUCAUACAAUCAUUAAGGGACGGUGACCCAGCCACCCCCCUGAGCAGCCUGUUCCAGUGCCUGACCACUCCUUCAGAGAAGAAAUUUCUCCUAAAAUCCAAUCUGAACCUCCCCUGGUGCAACUUGAGGCAAUUUCCUUUCAUCCUAUCAUUGUCACGCAGGAGAAGAGGCCGACCCCCACCUCACCACAACCUCCUCUCAGGCAACUGCAGAGAGCUAUAACGUCUCCCCUGAGCCUCCAGCUCUCCAGACUGAAUAAUUCCAGUUCCCUCAGC
ensembl:lncRNA